rnacentral:rRNA from 1 species
CCCGCUGAACUUAAGCAUAUCAAUAAGCGGAGGAAAAGAAACUAACAAGGAUUCCCCUAGUAACUGCGAGUGAAGCGGGAAAAGCUCAAAUUUAAAAUCUGGCGGUCUUUUGGCCGUCCGAGUUGUAAUCUAGAGGAGUGUUACCCGCGUCGGACCGUGUACAAGUCUCCUGGAAUGGAGCGUCAUAGAGGGUGAGAAUCCCGUCUUUGACACGGACUACCGAGGCUUCUGUGGUGCGCUCUCAAAGAGUCGAGUUGUUUGGGAAUGCAGCUCAAAAUGGGUGGUAAAUUCCAUCUAAAGCUAAAUAUUGGCGAGAGACCGAUAGCGAACAAGUACCGUGAGGGAAAGAUGAAAAGAACUUUGGAAAGAGAGUUAAACAGUACGUGAAAUUGCUGAAAGGGAAACGCUUGAAGUCAGUCGCGUCGUCCGGGAAUCAGCCUUCCUUCUGGUUGGCGUACUUCCUGGUCGACGGGCCAGCAUCAGUUUUGACCGGUGGAAAAAGUUGUAGGGAAUGUGGCACCUCCGGGUGUGUUAUAGCCUUGCUUCGUAUACAUCGGUUGGGACUGAGGAACUCAGCACGCCGCAAGGCCGGGAUUCGUCCACGUUCGUGCUUAGGAUGCUGGCAUAAUGGCUUUAAUCGACCCGUCUUGAAACACGG